AGAGUUUGAUCAUGGCUCAGGACGAACGCUGGCGGCGUGCUUAACACAUGCAAGUCGAACGGAAAGGCCCUUUCGGGGUACUCGAGUGGCGAACGGGUGAGUAACACGUGGGUGAUCUGCCCUGCACUCUGGGAUAAGCCUGGGAAACUGGGUCUAAUACCGGAUAGGACCACACACUUCAUGGUGAGUGGUGCAAAGCUUUGCGGUGUGGGAUGAGCCCGCGGCCUAUCAGCUUGUUGGUGGGGUAAUGGCCCACCAAGGCGACGACGGGUAGCCGGCCUGAGAGGGUGACCGGCCACACUGGGACUGAGAUACGGCCCAGACUCCUACGGGAGGCAGCAGUGGGGAAUAUUGCACAAUGGGCGCAAGCCUGAUGCAGCGACGCCGCGUGAGGGAUGACGGCCUUCGGGUUGUAAACCUCUUUCAGUAGGGACGAAGCGAAAGUGACGGUACCUACAGAAGAAGGACCGGCCAACUACGUGCCAGCAGCCGCGGUAAUACGUAGGGUCCGAGCGUUGUCCGGAAUUACUGGGCGUAAAGAGCUCGUAGGUGGUUUGUCGCGCUGUUCGUGAAAACUCACAGCUUAACUGUGGGCGUGCGGGCGAUACGGGCAGACUAGAGUACUGCAGGGGAGACUGGAAUUCCUGGUGUAGCGGUGGAAUGCGCAGAUAUCAGGAGGAACACCGGUGGCGAAGGCGGGUCUCUGGGCAGUAACUGACGCUGAGGAGCGAAAGCGUGGGUAGCGAACAGGAUUAGAUACCCUGGUAGUCCACGCCGUAAACGGUGGGUACUAGGUGUGGGUUUCCUUCCUUGGGAUCCGCGCCGUAGCUAACGCAUUAAGUACCCCGCCUGGGGAGUACGGUCGCAAGACUAAAACUCAAAGGAAUUGACGG
rnacentral:rRNA from 1 species